rnacentral:rRNA from 1 species
AUUGAACGCUGGCGGCAGGCCUAACACAUGCAAGUCGAACGAGUGGCGGACGGGUGAGUAAUGUCUGGGAAACUGCCUGAUGGAGGGGGCUAACUACUGGAAACGGUAGCUAAUACCGCAUACCAUCGGAUGUGCCCAGAUGGGAUUAGCUAGUAGUGGGGGUAAAGGCUCACCUAGGCGAAGAUCCCUAGCUGGUCUGAGAGGCUGACGUGCCACACUGGAACUGAGAACCGGUCCAGACUCCUACGGGAGGCAGCAGUGGGGAAUAUUGCACAAUGGGCGCAAGCCUGAUGCAGCCAUGCCGCGUGUAUGAAGAAGGCCUUCGGGUUGUAAAGUACUGUCAGCGGGGAGGCGUUACCCGAAGAAGAAGCACCGGCUAACUCCGUGCCAGCCGCCGCGGUAAUAC